AGCGUUGCCCAAGGCCCAUUUACCAGCUUAAUCAGCUCAAAAACCUUAUAGAUGCCUGUACUUGAUGAUCGGUCUCCACGAAAAGGGUGGGUUGAGCGGUCUUCAAACUUCGUUGUCCUUCGCUGGCGAUCUCUUCCUCUGAUUCUAAUCUAAGUAGAGGCUUGGUCUUCAAGCUGCAACAGUUGAUUAUGGAUGUGGUAGAUGCUUGACUACAUACCGUAUGUUACCUGAGAAGGUUCUUUCUGGCUAGAAGAAUACAAGAUCUUUUCCAAACUUGGAAUGGGCAUGAUGCGUUGUUCCUUGAUAUUUGGUACAUAAAAAUAUUUUAAAAUUUUUAUGGUUAGCAUUUACAGUGCAUCUUAUUUUUAUGUUUUCCAAUUAAAAUAUACAAUAAUUUGAGAACAAGGUUUCCAAAUUUUAGAUCUCCUAUGGUAUGUAAGUUUUACCCAAUUAGAAUUUGUUUUUAUAAUAUUUAAAUUCGUUGUUCGAAUUCCAGCUUGUGAGCUAUAGCUAUUGAUUCAUUUAAAACUUGCGCCAUGUAAUAUUUCAAUAUUUUAAGGUUUUGAAAAUAUAGGUUUCUCUGCAUCUUUCAUUUGUUUAAGUUCAUUGAUUUAUCUAUAAGUGAUUAAUAAGCUAUUAACCAAGUUAAUGGCUGUCCUCUCUACUUUUGCAUGGGAUGUAAUGCUCCUAGUCAAGUGACAUACCACCAGUUUUUCAGUUGCAACCUUCGUUAUUCAUCUUGCAUGAGUCAUUUUUUCAUGUUCUUUAAUCACAUGGUUGGUGAAGAAACCGGUAUUGGCAGCAUUAAGAGCUAAUUCGUGAACAGGAGUCAAACCUUUUCUUGCAAAUAGACUUUCCUCAUUUCUUCCAUAUUAUUAGUUUAUUUCAUGCUUCUCAUCAGUUUUAUUUGAUUUCAUUAACUAUGUAAUCUAUGCAGUUUGUUGAUUUAUUCAUCUUGCAUGAGUUAUUUUUUCAUUUGUAAGUCAUCUUUAAUCACAUGGUUGGUGAAGAAACUGGUAUUGGCAGCAUUCACAGCUGAUUCGUGAACAGAGGGCAAACCUUUCUUGUAAACAGAUUUUCCUCAUUUUUUCCAUAUUAUUAGUUUAUUUCAUGCUAGUCAUCAAUUUUAUUUGAUUUCAUUAACCAUGUAAUCUAUACAGUUUGUUGAUUUUAUUUUACUUGCCAUUAAUGAUAUACAUUACACGUCUCUAUAUCACCUUUUG